rnacentral:rRNA from 1 species
GCUCCCGGAUGUUAGCGGCGGACGGGUGAGUAACACGUGGGUAACCUGCCUGUAAGACUGGGAUAACUCCGGGAAACCGGAGCUAAUACCGGAUAGUUCCUUGAACCGCAUGGUUCAAGGAUGAAAGACGGUUUCGGCUGUCACUUACAGAUGGACCCGCGGCGCAUUAGCUAGUUGGUGAGGUAACGGCUCACCAAGGCGACGAUGCGUAGCCGACCUGAGAGGGUGAUCGGCCACACUGGGACUGAGACACGGCCCAGACUCCUACGGGAGGCAGCAGUAGGGAAUCUUCCGCAAUGGACGAAAGUCUGACGGAGCAACGCCGCGUGAGUGAUGAAGGUUUUCGGAUCGUAAAGCUCUGUUGUUAGGGAAGAACAAGUGCAAGAGUAACUGCUUGCACCUUGACGGUACCUAACCAGAAAGCCACGGCUAACUACGUGCCAGCAGCCGCGGUAAUACGUAGGUGGCAAGCGUUGUCCGGAAUUAUUGGGCGUAAAGGGCUCGCAGGCGGUUUCUUAAGUCUGAUGUGAAAGCCCCCGGCUCAACCGGGGAGGGUCAUUGGAAACUGGGAAACUUGAGUGCAGAAGAGGAGAGUGGAAUUCCACGUGUAGCGGUGAAAUGCGUAGAGAUGUGGAGGAACACCAGUGGCGAAGGCGACUCUCUGGUCUGUAACUGACGCUGAGGAGCGAAAGCGUGGGGAGCGAACAGGAUUAGAUACCCUGGUAGUCCACGCCGUAAACGAUGAGUGCUAAGUGUUAGGGGGUUUCCGCCCCUUAGUGCUGCAGCUAACGCAUUAAGCACUCCGCCUGGGGAGUACGGUCGCAAGACUGAAACUCAAAGGAAUUGACGGGGGCCCGCACAAGCGGUGGAGCAUGUGGUUUAAUUCGAAGCAACGCGAAGAACCUUACCAGGUCUUGACAUCCUCUGACAACCCUAGAGAUAGGGCUUUCCCUUCGGGGACAGAGUGACAGGUGGUGCAUGGUUGUCGUCAGCUCGUGUCGUGAGAUGUUGGGUUAAGUCCCGCAACGAGCGCAACCCUUGAUCUUAGUUGCCAGCAUUUAGUUGGGCACUCUAAGGUGACUGCCGGUGACAAACCGGAGGAAGGUGGGGAUGACGUCAAAUCAUCAUGCCCCUUAUGACCUGGGCUACACACGUGCUACAAUGGACAGAACAAAGGGCUGCGAGACCGCAAGGUUUAGCCAAUCCCACAAAUCUGUUCUCAGUUCGGAUCGCAGUCUGCAACUCGACUGCGUGAAGCUGGAAU